AUUGAACGCUGGCGGCAGGCCUAACACAUGCAAGUCGAGCGAGCGGCGGACGGGUGAGUACUGUCUGGGAAACUGCCUGAUGGAGGGGGAUAACUACUGGAAACGGUAGCUAAUACCGCAUACCAUCAGAUGUGCCCAGAUGGGAUUAGCUAGUAGGUGGGGUAACGGCUCACCUAGGCGACGAUCCCUAUCUGGUCUGAGAGGAUGACCAUCCACACUGGAACUGAGACACGGGCCAGACUCCUACGGGAGGCAGCGAGGGGGAAUAUUGCACAAUGGGCGCAAUCCUGAUGCAGCCAUGCCGCGUGUGUGAAGAAGGCCUUCGGGUUGUAAAGCACUUUCAGCGGGGAGGCGUUACCCGCAGAAGAAGCACCGGCUAACUCCGUGCCAGCCGCCGCGGUAAUUC
rnacentral:rRNA from 1 species